rnacentral:rRNA from 1 species
AUUUAGUAGACAGAAACCUCGGUGGAAGAUUACUAAUGAGAGUGGCGAACGGGUGAGUAACGCGUGAGCAACCUGCCUAUGACAGUGGGAUAGCCUCGGGAAACCGGGAUUAAUACCGCAUAAAAUCGUAGAAACACAUGUUUCAACGGUCAAAGAUUUAUCGGUCAUAGAUGGGCUCGCGUCUGAUUAGCUAGUUGGUGAGAUAACAGCCCACCAAGGCGACGAUCAGUAGCCGGUCUGAGAGGAUGAACGGCCACAUUGGAACUGAGACACGGUCCAAACUCCUACGGGAGGCAGCAGUGGGGAAUAUUGCACAAUGGGGGAAACCCUGAUGCAGCGACGCCGCGUGAACGAAGAAGGUAUUCGUAUCGUAAAGUUCUGUCCUAUGGGAAG